CGCACGAGCGAGUAGAGGCAGUUCGUGCUGCUGGGGAGCGGCCCCGAAAUCAUCCCUGGACCUGGAGCGAUUGGACCGGGCCGGAGCAGAACCUGGACCUGCUCUGAUGUCGGUUGUGGCAAGAAUGAAGCGGGUCAGGGGCGCCGGCGGUAGGUGGUGAUGCGGUGCACCAAGCUGAGGUGCGGGCGCUGGUGCCGUGCUGCCAUGGCGGGGAUUGGUGGCGUCCUGUUCAUGCAAUCAGCCAAUCAUGCAGCAGCAGCUGCUGCCGAUUGAUGCAGGGAGUGGUGUCCAUGUGGUGAUGAGGUGCACGACAGGCAAGGCCUUCUUGCGUUGGAAGGCCAGCCCGUCGGCCUGCUCUCUCGAUGGAUUGGUUCUGCCCUUGCGUGGUCAAACCAACGCACAUAUGCGUGAACCUCUUCACGUUCUUCAGACUCUUCAGCGUAUUUGCUCUUCACACAGAGAACUAGAAACACGCCCCAACCAGGUUUACGAAUUCGUGGUGGAGUAGCGGGAUGGCGGCGCAUAGGAGGUGAAGCUUCGAGUUGGUGUGCCUCGGCAACAAGAUCCAAUACGAUUUCGAAUCAAUCUGGUGAACAACACCGGAACCCUCGCUCGCCCGGGCCUCUGUCGCGCUUAUACACGCCGGCAAUCGCCGGUGUCCAUCAGGUCGGUCUCGACCUUGCCACGGUGCGGGCCGUCGAGAGCGAUGCGUUCCUGGAGGUUGCCAGGAACAAAGCCACGGAGAGUAUUUCGUUGAGUUGCUCGAGUUUUCACUGCCGGCGGCGGCAUCGACUACACCAGGAACGUGAGCGUCUACUUCGCCAAGGUCCGUGACAUAGUUUGAGGGGAUUCUUGGUAAGACGAAGAUUGCAGCCAUUUGAUAGUUGGCUUGGUUUCAAAAGAUUGCUAGGACGACACUAACAUAGCACUACGUAGGUAGUCCGUACUAGCAAGCAGAAGAUGUGAACAAGUUGAAUGAACACCCAUUCUUCUUAAUAUUCUAAGCGCUCAAAUGCAUGGUUUGGGAAAACCGUGAGGACAACAGUGAUAUAAUAAUUAAACACAAAGUGAUAUAAUAAUUAACACACUGGUUUUAGGUGCUACAAGAGGUGAUGCUAGAGCAGAAAAAUUUCAGGCCAACACACGGGGAGGAAGUAAGUUCGAGAGAAAAGGAGAGGGGAGGGUGGUGCAAGCGAGCAUGGAAAUAGGGCAGAGCCAGGGAGGAGGAACAGGGGUGGAGCCUUGCCGGUGAAAAGUAGGAGGCCACGUGAUGAGGACAUUCCUACUACACCACUACCUCCGUCAUUGAUAAAUGAAGAUGAACCUGCUGUGAAGCUCAAGUCCAAUGAAGUUCGGAUUGGACCAAUUACAAGGG